rnacentral:rRNA from 1 species
AUGGCGGCGGCGGCGUCGCUGCCUUCGCCGUUCAGGAACAUGCCGUCCUGCGCCGCGGAGUGCCGAGUCCGCGGAGAAGCCACUGUCAGGAGGCGGGCCAAAACCCACGCAAACAAGCGGUGCGUCGUGAAACUGCUCGGCGAGUUGGUCGCGAGCUACGAGCUGGGCAAGCCGGGCUCCAAGGCAAGCGGAAGCAUCCGGCAGGAGGCGCCCCAGGGGAUCUACGAGGUGUUCCCGAUUCGCGACCCCAAGGCCACCUUCAGAAGCCGCCGGGCCUGCAGCGACGCCGUCCACAGGAUGCUGAGGGAGACGCCGGUCCUCGAGGGGUUCGAUCUCAACCGCGCCAACUGGGACGAGUUCCUGCCCGACCAUGUCGCCGGGGUCGUCUUUCGUAGCCUCGGUGACCAGGCUGGUCGCUACGACAUUGACAUAUCUCUUAAUAUCUGGGUGACGGUCGUCGAGGAUAUGGCGGAGUGUUGUAUCUGCCUGUCAUACCUGGUGGAGGAUCAAGACGCUGUGAGGCUGCCUGGUUGCUCCCACGCUUUCCACCGCUCCUGCCUUACGCCGUGGCUGCAGAGAGCCAAGACGUGCCCAAUGUGUCGCGCCGUUAUGCCCAGCCACGUGCUUUACAGCCUCAUGCAUCCUCCAAAGCGUCAAUGA